rnacentral:lncRNA from 1 species
UUUUCCCACUUUCAGAAAUGGUGAACCAUAUUAGAACAUAUUGUACAGUCAGUCUGAGCAAACAUUUGUCCAACGUUGAGUAAUCUUUACUUUAAGGCCUUAAGAAAUUUUAAUUCUGCCACAAAACAAUCUGAAGAAUAAAUUGUUUAAAAAGAAAGAAAAAUAACCUGCCUUCUCUCAUAUUCAAGUGAAUGUUGUGACAAGGGUCAUGCUAGUCUACUAUGGUAGAUGGUCUAUUAUUAAGUGUCUACUGAAGUAUAUCUUUCCAUAAUUAUUUCAUAAUUUCCUGCUCUUUUAACUUGAGCUAGGAUAAACCCAUAGCUAGGACAAUUCUGUUUCUGAAUAAAGUCAACUGAAUGUAGGCUUGAGUAUGCAAUUAGUGGAUUGUUCAGGAUUUUCCCUGCUGGCUCUCUUGCCACUAUGUUUUGGCCAUUCUGGUACUCAGUACCUCUGCCAGGGUGGUAGGAGAGAAAAUAAUGCAGAUACAUUCAACAAUUUGUUUUUCUCUUUUCUAACAGGACUAAUUUCCAGUGUUGGCUUUAAUUAGAUUUGAGGACUACUUCUAGGUUUCAUUUAUUUGAACUCUCCCCCAUCUUCUUUUAUAGAUUCCUCCUUAGUGACAAAAAUUCUGUCUCAAAAAGAAAAGUCGCCAGAGAUGGACAAACUGGAGGACGACUCUGCACCUGAUGUUUAAGAGGAAGUGCAGCUCCUCUUUUCUCCAGCGACUUUUUCUUUUUCAGACAGAAUCUCUCACUGUCGCCCAGGCUGGAGUGCAAUGGCGCGAUCUCGCCACACUCCAACCUCCGCCUCCCGGGUUCAAUUGAGUCUCCUGCCUCAGCCUCCCAAGUACCUGGGACUGCCACCAUGCCCAGCUAAUUUUUGUAUUUUACUUGAGACAGCGUUUCUCCAUGUUGACCAGACUGGUCUCGAACUGCUGACCUCAGAUGAUCCGCCAGCCUCAGCCUCCCAAACUGCUGAGAUUACAGGCGUAAGCCACCGCACCCGGCAAAGACCUGUAGUUCUAACUCACAAGUUCAGGCAUUAGUAUGAACAGCAGGAAAUCCUCAUUGGGAUUUUAUUUGUACAAAGCUUCAAAGACUUCCUGGGAGGGACGCGGUGGCUCACACCUGUAAUCCCAGCAGGCCGAGGGGAGCAGAUCAGUUGAGGUCAGGAGUUCAAGACCAGCCUGAGCAAUAUGGUGAAAUCCCGUCUUUAUCAAAAAGACAAAAAUUAGCCGGGCGUGGUGGCACAUGCCUGUAAUCCCAGUUACUUGGGAGGUUAAAGUAGGAGAAUCGCUUGAUCCCAGGAGGUGGAGGGUGCCAUGAACCGAGAUCAGGCCACUGUACUCCAGCCUGGGCGAAAGAGCGAAACCCUGUCUCAAAAAAAAAAAAAAAAAAAAAAAA